GUCUACAGCCAUGCCACCCUGAACACGCCCAAUCUCGUCCGGUUUUGGAAGCUAAGCAGGGUCAGGCCUAGUUAGUACUUGCAUGGGAGACCACUUAGGAAAACAAGGUGCCGUAGGCG
rnacentral:rRNA from 1 species